rnacentral:rRNA from 1 species
UGGGGAAUUUUGGACAAUGGGCGAAAGCCUGAUCCAGCAAUGCCGCGUGUGUGAAGAAGGCCUUCGGGUUGUAAAGCACUUUUGUCCGGAAAGAAAUCCUUGGCUCUAAUACAGUCGGGGGAUGACGGUACCGGAAGAAUAAGCACCGGCUAACUACGUGCCAGCAGCCGCGGUAAUACGUAGGGUGCAAGCGUUAAUCGGAAUUACUGGGCGUAAAGCGUGCGCAGGCGGUUUGCUAAGACCGAUGUGAAAUCCCCGGGCUCAACCUGGGAACUGCAUUGGUGACUGGCAGGCUAGAGUAUGGCAGAGGGGGGUAGAAUUCCACGUGUAGCAGUGAAAUGCGUAGAGAUGUGGAGGAAUACCGAUGGCGAAGGCAGCCCCCUGGGCCAAUACUGACGCUCAUGCACGAAAGCGUGGGGAGCAAACAGGAUUAGAUACCCUGGUAGUCCAGCGCCCUAAACGAUGUCAACUAGUUGUUGGGGAUUCAUUUCCUUAGUAACGUAGCUAACGCGUGAAGUUGACCGCCU